AGGGUCAAAGCUCGGAGCGGAACGGAUCACUGCACUACGCACGACGAUUAAUGCGCAACUUGGUUAGACGACCGACCGUUGUUGCGUUCGAUUGAAAUCCAAAUGACAAUUAUCGGGCCACGAUUCCUCGAAGAGAAUUAAUGAUCGAUAAUCAGUAAUCGGUAAUCGAUAAUCGAUAAAGAGUGCGUUUCAUCCUGAUGGUUGUCGACAUAUAAUUUGAAAAUUCCAAAGGAAUUAAAGGAAUUUGGCGGAUAAAAAUUCUCGUGAGUCUGGAAAGGAUCUACUUGGUAAAUUGUACAUAAAUCGUGAAAGGCUCGUGCCGCGGACAAAGAAGAAAGUUAAGAAACUAAGCGAGGCGUGGCGAGGCGAGGGAAAACAACGCCAAGUUCGAAUAAAAGAGCCUCGUAACGGAGGGGCUUCGUACGGCCCUGGCGCGAUUGCGGCACUGCACCCCUACGGGGGGCUCUCUGCCAAACACACCGAAUCCGUCCUCCACCCCGGAACACAAGAACCACGGUUGUUCGGGCGGUCGCGGGGCGAAUGGCAAUGGGAGAAACAGCGGCGGUUCGCGCAGCAACGGGUCCGAUCCGGCGUCGGUGGUGUUGGUGGCGGCGGCGGCGGCGACGGUGGCGGAGGCGGAAACGGAGGCAACCGAGUCGCAGUCGCAGUCGCAGCCACAGGCGUCGCGUGCAGGCGGCACUUCUUCGCAUCGGCACAAUGGGACCGAGAAUUCUCGCGAAACCGAUUUGUUGUCUCACGCGACUUCCGCGCUGCGAAGACUGCACUUUAAAUCCACCGGAGGGAGUCGAAGUAGUCGCAGCGUUCCGAAAGUCGUUGUCAUGGGAUCGAGCACCGCUUCGGAAACCACGAUCAACACCAGCACCGACAGCGCGAACACGAUGCUCACGAUGGUAACGACCACGGACGGAGAACAACCGGACGAUAGUUUCGAUUUGAUAGACAUCCCGGCGGAGAUGUCGCCGCCCACUCCAUUGCCGGCAACCGCA